rnacentral:rRNA from 1 species
UACAGAGGUGGCAAGCGUUGUUCGGAUUCACUGGGCGUAAAGGGUGCGUAGGCGGUCGGGUAAGUCUGAUGUGAAAUCUCAGAGCUCAACUCUGAAACUGCAUUGGAUACUAUUCGGCUUGAGGUCUGGAGGGGGGACUGGAAUUCUCGGUGUAGCAGUGAAAUGCGUAGAUAUCGAGAGGAACACCAGUGGCGAAGGCGGUUACCUGGAGCUUUGCUGACGCUGAUGCGCGAAAGCGUGGGGAGCGAUCCGG